CCUACGGGUGGCAGCAGUGAGGAAUAUUGGUCAAUGGGCGCGAGCCUGAACCAGCCAAGUAGCGUGAAGGAUGACUGCCCUACGGGUUGUAAACUUCUUUUAUAACGGAAUAAAGUGAGGCACGUGUGCCUUUUUGUAUGUACUUUAUGAAUAAGAAUAGGCUAACUCCGUGCCAGCAGCCGAGGUAAUACGGAGGGUCCGAGCGUUAUCCGGAUUUAUUGGGUGUAAAGGGAGCGUAGAGGGGUUGUUAAGUCAGUUGUGAAAGUUUGCGGCUCAACCGUAAAAUUGCAAUUGAUACUGGCAGUCUAGAGUACAGUUGAGGUAGGCGGAAUUCGUGGUGUAGCGGUGAAAUGCUUAGAUAUCACGAAGAACUCCGAUUGCGAAGGCAGCUUACUAA
rnacentral:rRNA from 1 species